rnacentral:lncRNA from 1 species
CCCAGAGGGUGGCCGGCAGCCUCUGCAUCUCCACCCUGGGCCUGUGGGACCACGCGGGGCUCUCAGACGGCUUCCCACUGGCUGUGGGCUGAAGACAGGAGGGAGGUGCGCAGAGAUGAGGAUGAGGUGCCCUAGGAGGGGCCCCUCUCCAGCCUGGAGUGUCCACUGCAAGUGGAGUCCUAGACGGCGGUGGGCAGCCAGUAGUCACUAAAGAGUCUGACACGACAUGUCACAAGCCCUGCCCGGAACCCUGUUCCCACAAAUGGUGGGGAAGGACCACCCCUGGUCUCCAGAAAUGAAUCUGAAAAUUCGCUGGUUUGGGAGCCGUGAGAGCAGCUCCGUCAUUUGUUCGACCCCCGUUCAGGGAGUAUUUCCUGGGAGCCUCUAAGUGCAUCUGCGGAGAAGGCUGGAAAGCAGGGCCCUGCUGGUCCAGAAGCUCUGACAAGCAGCGGGAAGCUACUGGAGCCCAGCGUGGUCCCGCAGGCCCGGGGUGGAGACUCAGGGGCUGGUCGGUGCCACUCGUGGUCCCCCAGGCCAGAGCAGCCCAGGCCUCUGCUGGAAACUCAAGCGCUCUCUGAUUUAAAUGAAGACGCCUUGAAGAGCUCCGGCUGUCCUGGAUGGAUGAAGCAGCAUAGGCAUGACUUGGAAGGAUGUGCGGUGGAAGGGGGGUCGCUUCACUGCCAAGAAACCCUUCCUGAGUCUUCUGGAAAUUUCAGGAAAGGCUGCUCAUCCCAGGAGGCUGAAAAAGUAUGGCUGUGUGUUGGGUGGGCCUAAUGCAGGGCAGCGGCCAGGCUGGCACUCAAGUGUGUGUGUGUGUAUGUGAGUGUGAGUGCAAGAGUGUGUGUGUCUGUCUGUGAGUGUGUGAGACUGUGUGUGACUGUGUGUCUGUGUGUGAGAGUGUGUCUAUGAGUGUAUGUCUGUAAGAGUGUAUGUAUGAGUGUGUGACAGUGUGUGUGAGCAUAUGUGAGUAUGUAUGUGUGUCUGUGAAAGUGUGAGUGUGAGUGAGCAUGAGUGCGUGUCUGUGAGAGUGUGUAUGUGAGAGUGUGUUGUGUCUGUGAGAGCAUGUGUGUGAACGUGUUUAUGUAUGUGAGUGUGUAUGCAUCUGUGAGUGUGUCUGUGAAAGUGUGUGUGAGGAUGAGUGUGUGUCUGUGAGCAUGUGUCUGUGAGAGCAUGUGUGUAUGUGUGUGAGUGUGUAUGUAUCUGUGAGUGCGUCUGUGAAUGUGUAUAUGAGUGAGCAGGAGUGUGUGUGUGGUCUGUGAGUGUGUGAGCGUGUGAGAGUAUGUAUUUGAUUGUGUAUCUGAGACUGUGCAAGUGUGUGUGUGCCUGUGUGCAAGUGUGAGUGUGUGUGUCUGUGUGUAAGUGUGAGUGUGUGUGAGUUUGUGUGUUCAUAUGUGAGUUUAUCUUCCGUGAGAAUUUUAGGCGAAACUGAGGAGAACCGCAGUCAUCUGACGUUGUCAUGAUGGCUGAAGUCCAGGUCUCAGAUCUGGGUGGAAGCACUGGGUCUGAAUAGUGACCAUCUCAUCACAGUUGUCUCCUGAGACUCCCAUUCCCGGGAAGGAGAGUACUUGCCAGGGAAGCCAGCAGCACUCUGGGCGAACGUGUGCCCCUCAAGAGUGGCCGCAGGCUGUAGCAGGAUCCAGAGGAGAGGCGGGGCCGAGGCCCAGUCAGGGUCUCUGCAGGGUCCCUGCAGAGGCAGGGCCUCUGGGAGCCUGGGGGACCCGGGACAGGGAGGUGAAGGAGGAGUAACAGCAGGUGCGAGGCACCAAUGGCCAAUGUGGAAAUUAUGAGUGGGCGCUCCAGCUUCGUCUGCUGAGACCUCUCGCUCACUUCUCUGCGUCUUCACCCUUCCCCUCCUCCCCGGCGCCCCUGCCCUCUGUUAAUGCCAUUAACAGUGGGCGUUAUGUGUGGCACGGCAAGGCCAUGCUCUAAAACACGCGCCUGGGUCCUGAUGAGCCUGCGCUCUCCCUGUGUUUUGGGCGCUGCCUUCAGAGCAUGUUGGUAGUGAGAUGUGGAAGGCCACGCAGCUGUAGUGCACUCACUGUCGCAGCCUAACGGUGCCACACGGACCCGUAAGAGGACGCACAACUGUCAGCUGACUCCGUCACUGGGAAAAACAACACGGGUACAUUGUCUGCGAUUGCUGUCACUCUGAUACAUGAGAAAUACAUGGGAGGGAGUUUGAAAUGACAUUGAAUGAACUUGAGCAUACCUGGUCUUUGGCCUACUUUCCUACAGGGUCUCACUCUGCUGCCUAGGCUGCAAUGCGGUGGCACGACCAUGGCUCAGUGCGUCCUCAACUCCUGGGCUCAAGUGAUCCUCCCACCUCGGCCUCCUGAGUAGCUGGGACUACAGUUGCACACCACCAGAUCCGACUAAUUUGCAGUUCUGUCCGGCGUACAGUGUGAGAUGGGAAUCAACUUUUGUCUUCAUCCAGAUGGUAAAUUAAAUGUUAUUUAUGAAAAAUCCAUUGCUUAAGGUAGUGAUCUGAGAAGCGAAGUUUACCAAUGGCUCAAUAGCGAUUUGAGAAGCGAACUUUACCGAUGACUCAAUGCGUGUUUUACUUUGGUCCUGGGCUUUCUACUCUCACCUCAUGUCUGGUCUGUAUGGCGGGUCUGACACCGUGGGAUGCAGAGAUACAAAUCUGCCUGCCUGUCGCCUCCUCUCAUGGAAACGGUGCAUAGCUCGCCUUUCAUGAUUUAUAAAGUCAAAGCCUUUUUAACUUAGGUAACUAUUAUUAAAGGUAAAGUGUUGUCAAAAUUACAGGGAUCCUUUGGUUAAUGCUGGGGAGAAAAUCAUAAAAUCAUGAAGUUUUUGGAAUAAAUUAUUUCCUCAGACUUUGAGAUAGACAUUUUAGCCACUACACAUUGGCUCAGCCAAUAUUGUGGAAUUCUCUAUUUCUUGCUUAUUAGACAAACGUUGAAUUUUCUUUUCAUGUCUGAAUUAUUAUUUUUUCUUCCCUCCAUACAAGGCAUUCCCUCUAUUAACUCUUAUUCAUUGCUGACACUGCAAGGUAUUUCAGAUUGGGAAAUAGUUGUAAAAAUAAAGACAAUGUAUUAGAAGGGAACAACUGUUGAAAUAUUACUUUAAGCAGAAGUCACAGACUAUAGUUUAUCUUCUUCUAUUAAUAAAAUGAGAUGCUUUCCCUCGACAAAAGCAGUACCAAGUUGAAGAGGGUCACGGCUUUCCAGCCGAGAGUGAAACAGUUUGAGCAAUGCAGCGUGCAGGCUCGCGGGAGGGGCGCUCCGUCUCCCCAGAGCACAGCUGGGAGGUUCCCGCAUGCAGCCCAGGCUUGAUCUCCUCCUGGUGAGAGGGGACCGGCUCCAGGGCAGGCAGGGGAGGCCCGUCCAUCACUCACAGUGAGAUUUUGGCCUACUGUGGUUUCUAGGGAAAUAAAUCUCUUCUUCCAGUCCCUGAAAGAACAUAACCCAUGCUUCCAAAUGACUUAAAACAAUUCAGGUUUCAUUGAAAAGAAAAUAUGUUUAACAUUAUAUGAUUUUCGCUUUUUUAGAGACUUUUAUGUCAGUGAGAGGGAGAACACAAAUGCUGAUUUAAGGAAGUGUUGAAGGGCAUUUCCCCAAGUUGUUCUUUUCCUCUGAGGUAAUAUUUGAAUUUCUAAAAAAUAUCAACUUUAGUGUGCAUUUUUUGUGACUUCUUUUAAUACUAUUGGCAACAAACUCAUUGCUUUCUGAAGAAUAAAGGAAAAUAUCAUACUUUGAGUUAAAAAUGAUAGUUUUUCAUGGUGUAUAUUUGUGUGAUUACAUUUUAUUUCAUUUGUUCCUUAAAUCCCUUGUCUUAUGCCAAAAAUAGAUACAUUUAAUUUUGGAAAAAAAAGAGAAUUAACCCCCCACAGACAUCAAUCUGAAAGCAGAAUUUCCUUUUAUUAAAGCAAAAAGUUCCCAAGCAUGAGGCUGUAUGUUGAGCGAACACCUUUGACUGCUCUAAUUUCUCACUUCUCAAGAUUUCCUGAACUCGAUGGGGGACAAAAAGACCAAAACCAAACUUUGGAGGAAAUAAAAUUAAUAAUUUUUUUCUCUAAAGAAAACAUACUGAGCAUAUAUCUGUAUACGGUGCUAGUGACAAUCUUAUAAACCUCAAAAGACAACAAUUUUGCUUUCUUUUCUUUGUGCACAGGGGUUUUAAAACCUUACAAUGCUGGCCGGACGCGGUGGCUCAUGCCUGUAAUCCCAACACUUUGGGAGGUUGAGGCAGGUGGAUCACCUGAGGUCAGGAGUUCAAGACCAGCCUGGCCAACAUGGUAAAACCCAUCUCUACUAAAACUACAAAAAUUAGCCAGGCAUAGUGGCGAGUGUCUGUAGUCCCAGCUACUCGGGAGGCUGAGGCAGGAGAAUCGCUUGAACCCAGGAGAUGGAGGUUGCAGUGAGCCAAGCAAGAUCAAGCUACUGCACUCCAGCCUGGGCAACAGAGCGAGACUCCAUCUCAAAACAAACAAACAAACAGAAAAACUUUACAAUGCUGAUAAACUUAAAAAUUAUGAAACACAGCUCUUCUUGUCCUCCUGGGGCGCCCCCCAUCACCCCCAUCACAGCCCAGCCUUCUUCUGCUCCUCUCUGUUCUGAGGGAACUUCCCAUCCUUGUCUUUUUAUGGCCGUCUCAGCAUUUUCCCAGGUGUGUGGCUGUCCCUAAGUUAACCCCGGUUUAGCACACGGGAUGUGAUGCUGAGUGAUGGGAGUUCCUCAGAUAAAAGUGGCGGAUCUUCUUUGACUCAUCUUUUCCUUCCUCCCUCUCUAUCUCAAAUUAGAGUGAGAUCAAAUAUAGUGAAAAUGUUACUAGAGACUUUGGGUUUUAAAUCUCUGUAAACCCAGUGAAACACACUAUUUCUGGGGUGUGCACGAUGUGGUCAGUUAGUUACAAAUGCCUUUUUAUCUAGUGAGAGGUGUUUGGGCAAUCCAUGUGCACACAGAGGAGCGUUUCUGGUGAUUUGAUCAAAUCCAAGUGAGCUAGCUCGUUAGUACCUGUGGCAAGUUUAGAACUUCUGAACUCACAAACAUAUUAAGAAAUUUCCUAGGUUCACAGUGAUUUUUGGUAAACAUGAAUUUAAGUACCAAAAGAGGCAGAAUAAUAGUUUGCAAAGUUGUGUUUCCUUUGAGCUUCUGACUCAAAAGUUACAUCAAAGAUGUCCCUGCCUACCCUUAAUAUUUAAGUAAUGGAAUAAAGCUUAAGGGCCCCGAGACUCAGGAGGAUGCCCACAGGGAGAGGCAGGUAGCGCAGCACCUGGCAUUUAGUGGCUCAGCCCUGGAAUGCUAGAGCCUUGGGUUUUCCUUACAAUUGGGAUGGGAUUGGCCACACCUAUCAACAAUUUCUGUUCACUAGCCAAUUAUAAGAAGUUUAUGCAUGCCUAGACCAUUAAAAAAAAAGAAAAGAAACGUUCGGGGGGCCUGACUUUGUUAGCAUGGCCAAAUGAUCUGUUUUUAAUGUAAAUAUUUUGCUACAUUAAAGUUAUCAAAUCAAAG